GAAGCUCACUUUGACUAUUGACCUUUUAUAAAGGGAGAAGAAACGUGGAAAGAUUAAGUUGAAAAAUAUGUGCUGGGGAUUGGGGAGGAUAUGAAGAUGAAGAAACAGGUCACCUACCCUCAAGGAGUCUGGAGCCUAAUGGGGGAGAAUUGAAUUGGCAGAAACACUGUCAGCUUGAAUUGGAAGGGACAGAGACUGUACAAUGAAAAGUGGUCUUUGGAUCCCUGAACCUCUACAGGCAGGAAGCACACUGAGAAUGCUACAUAGCUUCAAACAUGAUCUUCCCUCGAUGGAAAAGAAAGGAUGACUCAGAAAGCAGAACCACGAGUCUAGAGGGCAGAGCCAGGCUUUGAAUUCGAGUCAGGAAUUGCCUGUAUCCCACUGGAUUUCAGAAUUGCCAUGAGCCAGUGACGCCCAUCACCUCCCGCUUUACCCUUUGGGAGCACCAGUGCUGUGGUAGUGUCCCCAUGCCUUUGACGAUGUUGGUCUUGAGUUCCUGACCCACAGAGACUGUGAGAUAAUAAAGGUUUAUUGGUAUUUGAAAGCAGUGAGUUCUGUGGUAAUCUGUUAUGCAGUGAUAGGUAACUAAUGCAUUGACAAUUAAGUUUAAAUUGGAAGGCUGAGAUGAAAACUCCACCAAGAUGGCAGGCAGUGGGGGUGGGGGAGAGCAUUACCAUGGAGGAGAAAGAAAACCUCUGAUUUCAAAGGUUAUCAACUGUAAGAAUCAUGGGAUGAUUGUAGGUUACUGGAAAAAGAUGUAAACUCAAGAAUAUUCAUUAAUGCAUAUUCAGUUAAAUAUCAGCAAAAGGAGUUAUCUGAUGAAUUGUUGCUAAGAACUACAAUUUUAUGUGAAAAUGGGGAAGAACUUUUUCUACUUAUUUUACAUUUAGCUUACCCUUGUUUGUUAGUAAGUGAAGUUAUGUGUCCGUAGUACAUAUUCUCAGAGGUUAACUUACUUACUUUUUAAAAGUAUUUAAAAUGUUAGAAACAGUAGGGCUCUGUACCCAGCUCUUAUUAAUUAACUUACCUUUAAAGUAAAUGGA